rnacentral:rRNA from 1 species
UGGGGAAUAUUGGACAAUGGGCGCAAGCCUGAUCCAGCCAUGCCGCGUGAGUGAUGAAGGCCCUAGGGUUGUAAAGCUCUUUUACCCGCGACGAUAACGACGGUACCACGCGAAUCAGCCUCGGCUAACUCUGUGCCAGCAGCCGCGGUAAUACAGAGGGGGCAAGCGUUGUCCGGACUUACUGGGCGUAAAGCGCACGCAGGUGGUAACGCAAGUGGGGUGUGAAAGCCGCCAGCUCAACUGGCGGAGGCCAUCCCAAACUGCGUCACUUGAGGCCUGUAGAGGUAUGUGGAAUUGCCGGUGUAGUGGUGAAAUGCGUAGAGAUCGGCAGGAACACCCAGGGGGAAACCAGCAUACUGGACAGGUCCUGACACUCAGGUGCGACAGCGUGGGGAGCGAACCGGAUUAGAUACCCCGGUAGUUCC